CUGGUCUUGACAUCCACAGAACUUUCCAGAGAUGGAUUGGUGCCUUCGGGAACUGUGAGACAGGUGCUGCAUGGCUGUCGUCAGCUCGUGUUGUGAAAUGUUGGGUUAAGUCCCGCAACGAGCGCAACCCUUAUCCUUUGUUGCCAGCGGUUAGGCCGGGAACUCAAAGGAGACUGCCAGUGAUAAACUGGAGGAAGGUGGGGAUGACGUCAAGUCAUCAUGGCCCUUACGACCAGGGCUCCACACGUGCUACAAUGGCGCAUACAAAGAGAAGCGACCUCGCGAGAGCAAGCGGACCUCAUAAAAUGCGUCGUAGUCCGGAUUGGUGUCUGCAACUCGACUCCAUGAAGUCGGAAUCGCUAGUAAUCGUAGAUCAGAAUGCUACGGUGAAUACGUUCCC
rnacentral:rRNA from 1 species